CCGAAUGGGGCAACCCACUAGUUUGAAGAACUAGUACCCGACUUGUCGGGGGCAAACCCGGGGAACUGAAACAUCUUAAGUACCCGGAGGAGAAGAAAACAACAGUGAUUCCGUUAGUAGUGGCGAGCGAACGCGGAGUAGCCCAAACCCAAUUUGUUACGGCAAGUUGGGGGUAAUAGGACUGCGUUAUUUGAUGCUUAAUGAAUUAGAAUCUACUGGAAAGUAGUACCACAGAGGGUGAUAGUCCCGUAUAGGUAAGUUAAGUUAUUGAUAGCAGUAUCCUGAGUAGUGCGGGGCACGUGAAACCUUGCAUGAAUUUGCCGGGACCAUCCGGUAAGGCUAAAUACUCCUGAGAGACCGAUA
rnacentral:rRNA from 1 species